AUGUCGAGCUCCACUUCAGCCUCCUGCCCCUCGUGGACCCAGUAUGGUCCACUUCCCAUGGAGCGAUUUCUUGACUGCCCACGCAGAGCGCCACUGAUAAGGUUUACUUUGAAGGAGGUCAAGAAUGGCAACUAUGGGCGCGAGUUUGUGAAAUGCGAGAGCAAGCCAGAGGGGCAGAUAGUGAAGAAAUGCACACAUUUUGAAUGGUUGGAUGACUACGUUAAGCGGAUUCAAUUCAAUGGGGCCCCAACCCGGGAGCUCAAUCUGCCGUCAGCAACAACGAAUUUGGUCUCUGAAAGUGCUGCUCUCACAGUUGGGAUGCAGAUCUGA
rnacentral:rRNA from 1 species